rfam:Colletotrichum gloeosporioides Nara gc5 unplaced genomic scaffold scaffold14, whole genome shotgun sequence.
GUCGACAAUACUUCAGAGAAUCAUUUCUAUAGUAUUCGACCUAUUCUUGGUUCCCUACAGGAGCCACAGAUCCCACCCUGGUUGAUGAAUGAUAUCCUCGACACCUUAGAGUGAAGAACUCUGGUUGCUUUCGCACUCUCCGUUCUGGAGGGCUGCUCUUGCCCUUGAGGCUUGGGCUGUAUAGAAGGCGGUGAUGAUCUCGUCCCUGACUGUGGUCUUGCCCUUGGGCGCACGGUCAGGGUGGGUGUCGAUGGACGUCUGACAGGC